AUGAAUGAACUCCGUCUUCACCGUUGGAGGCAAAUCACGAUACCGCUGUUCUAAACACUUUGCUUCAAUGUCUGUAGCCCGGCGACCAACCUCCGGGGUGGACACGACCCUCAGAAGCUGAAAGGAUGGUGGCCGACGAGGUCCACAAACCGCGGUUCCAAGGACCCGGAAUCUGGCUCCUCGCGGUCCUUCUAUGACGCAAUAUUUCCGCGCCGGGUUCGAGGCUCUUUACGGGGAGCCGCCAUUUUCCCACCUACUGCCGAACGAUGCGGGAGGUAUUCCUUUCCCUGCCUUCCGCGGGAAGGUCAAAAACGAUUCACAUGUUGAAGCCCUAAGAUCCAGUGUGGCUCUAAUCAGAGAUGGGGCUCCUAAGGCUCCCUAAAGCCAGCUUCGGUACCGGACUACGGCGGCCGAUGAGGGACUGAAACUUUUGUACCCAGCACCGACAAUCGGACUUCCGGCUUCUCCUUAGAGGGUGAUGCGUCCGCUCCCUCGGCGCCUCGCCUGCCUGGGGGCAGCCAUCUUUGAGCAUUUAUCAUGCAGAACAGAGAUGGCUGUUUCUGCGCCACUAACCCGGAUGGCUCGAGACCAGUGAAAGGCCCCUGAACUGUUCCCUCACCUGAUACUUCAUCCCCUGUGCGGCGAGGCUGGAAGAGUUGCGAACGACACUGCACAAGCUACGUAGAGUUUCAGAGGCUCGAGCUUAUACAAGGCAAACAUGGCGCGGGCGCCGUCCACUUCAGCGGUCAAGAAAGAAACGGCCCAAUGAGCGCGGCCAUGUAAAAGGAAUUUCAGGUGUCCGUACAGCGGAGAACACGCCCCCUUUCCCCCCAAAGUGAACAGGAUGGCCCGCCAAGCUUGGGGAAUAGAAGGGCCCAUGACAAGUCCCUGCAUCUCAGCUUGUGAGGUUAAACUUAGCAGGUGAGUGCGGGUCAAAGUGUGAAUUCAUUGUCGAGGUUGUCUUUUGUUUCAGGCCAGUUCGGAAAACACCAAGUGUUGAAAUUUGAAAUUGUGGUCCGUGAAAUAAGUGGACACAAAAGCUACUGUGAUGCUGUCAGAGUAUCAGCAAUGCAGUGCCAAUAUUUUUUGAAGAAAUCGUUGUUGAACACAAAUUCGUGUGCUAAGUAAACCAAAAUGUUGGACUUUUGAGCAGAGAGAGUUUUAUUGCAGGGCCAAGGACAGAGAAUGCCUGGCUCGUGCUCGAAAAACCCGAGCUCCCUGAUGGUUUUGGGGGAAGAGAUUUUAAAGGCAAAAUUUGGGGUGAGGGCUGGAGGAUGUGUGACUUUCUUCUGAUUGGUGGUGAGGUAAUAGGGCGGUGUCCAGGAAUCUUUUGCUCAGCCUGAAGUUACCAUCCUCUGCUUGGGUGGGGGCCUUAGUUGCUACAGAACUCAAAGGUAUAUUGUUAUGUGUAUCCCUUGAGGAGGAACCAGGACCCCUCUUUACGCUGCACUAUUGUUUCUUUACUGCUUUUCCUUUGCUACUGCGUUCCCUUACUUCCCUAAUUAGAAGCUAUUUGAAUCUGCCCGUUGGAACUCAUGGAAGGUCUAGGAGGCUGAAGACUUUUUCCUACGAACAAGAAAGGGGGGACACGGAAAGGCUUUUAUACCCGGCAGGGCCCACAGGGUUCUGCUAAGUUUCAAAAUCACACAAAACCAUUCUUUCUGGGACUAUGUCAUCAAGGCCUUAGCACCUCUGCUUGCAUCUGAGAUUAUUGGGAGACGAUUCUGGAGCAUCUAUGUUCUGCUUUGUCACUUUUUUAUGUCCAACCCCUUCUCUCUGUUCACCCCUUACCCUAUCUCUGCAUCUUAGUCCAAGCUCCUUCCAGCUUUAGCAGCAGUGAGCUAUUGUUGCAGGAGAAGGGGGGAGCAAGAGAAUGGUCACAUCCCAGGUCUCAAGAGAGUCCUUGGCUUCUCGCAGGAAAGAAUUCAAGAGCGAGCAAUAAUACAGUGAAAGCUAGCUUAUUCAGAGAAGUACACAUUCCAUAGGCAGAAGGUGAGAGCAGCCCCGAGUAAUUUCAUAGGCUAACACGUGGAAGGAUUAUUCCAACUGUUUGAGGGAAAGGGCAGGAAUUUUCAGGAAUUGGGCCACCACCCACUUUUUGGUCCUUCUUGGUCAGGCUUGGAACUGUCAUGGCACUGGUGGGUGUGUCAUUUAGCAUGUUAAUGUAUUACAGUGAGUGUAUAAUGAGGCUCAAGGUCUAUGGGAAGUCAAAUCUUGGGCCUAGCAAGUACUAACCAUUUUAUAUCAUAUCCUCAAUGGCUGUGUCACUCUUUCAAUGGCUGUGCCCUGGCCCCUUUCCUUCCUCUUUCACUAAGGCAGAGACAAAUCAAGUAUUCCAUACAAACUUUCAAGACAUAUAAGUCGGUCAACGGUAACUUUACAGAUAUGUCCCCAAAAGCUAUUAAAACUAUCCUAUCAGGUAAGAAUUGCCAUAAUUUUUUU